rnacentral:rRNA from 1 species
UACGAGGGGGGCAAGCGUUGUUCGGAAUUAUUGGGCGUAAAGGGCGCGUAGGCGGUGCGGUAAGUCACCUGUGAAAACUCUGGGCUCAACUCAGAGCCUGCAGGCGAAACUGCCGUGCUUGAGUGUGGGAGAGGUGCGUGGAAUUCCCGGUGUAGCGGUGAAAUGCGUAGAUAUGUGGAGGAAUACCGAUGGCGAAGGCAGCCCCCUGGGAUAACACUGACGCUCAUGCACGAAAGCGUGGGGAGCAAACAGG